CCAGGUUUAGAACCAUUGAACCAGGCUCCCCUCUACUGGGUGGCAGAAUUUGCCAGUAGGGGUGUGGGGCUGUAUUUUAUUUUCUCAGUUUGGGAAGGGACAGGCAGGAGCUGAGAAAAGGAUUCGCCUAUAGCCGGAAGAUUAGGGGCCAAACAGAGGCCAGGAACUGAAAGAGUUAAAACUGGGCAUUGAUCCCGGCGACCUUGGCUGGCCUGUUAGCGCCCGCACAGCACACACAUAAGGACCCUUCGCGCGGGGACUGUCCCAGAGACUCGCCUGCGCCGCGCCGUUGGGUUGCGAAGGCCCAAAAAUCCCACACCGCCUCCGAAGCCGUGUCAGCUGCAGCCUUGGGUAUCUUUGGGGAACCCUGGUUAGCCCCUGGUCCGGUGAUCCAGCCCCCGAGGCACUUUCCCGUGCCAUGCUGGGCACUGUAAAAAUCAGAAAGUUGCUUCUGUUCGGGGCCCCGGGAAGGGCCGAGCUGCCCUACUCCCAACCCGGCCUCGCAGGGAGGCCUCCGGGAAAGGACAGAGGGCAUCGCGCGGGGACCGUGCGUCGGAGGCGGCGGGUCACUUGAGCCCCUGCGAGGUGGCGCGGAGAUCUGCGGGGACAGCACAGGGUCGCGCCGCCCCCUGGCGGCUCAGUGGCAGAGUUGAGGCUGGGGGCGGGCGGCAGCGGGAGUCUGGCCGCUCCGGGACAGGUUCCUUGUUCCCAGAGACGAGCGGGGGAAGGAUGUUGAAAAGACGCCCCCACGAAGACUGUCCUGUCCCUCCUCACUUCCGCUCUGCCUCUGUCCCUUUCUCGAUUUUAUCUCUCUUCCUUCUCCCCCCAUCUCGCCCACUCUUCCUGCCCUUCCCCCUCCCGUCCUCACUCCCUCUCCUACCCACCCCCCUUCCUUUCUCUCGUCCUUCGCCCGCCCCCUCCCGCCCCCGCGGGGCAGCGCCUGGGUGCGCCCGCUUGGCAGUUAGCCCAUUAGAUCUCGUACUAUUGAUCCGCUUCUGAGCUGAAGCUGACAGCCCCCCACCCCCUUCCCGUUCUCUCCUUGUUCCCAUUCCUGUCCGCCCCCCCACCACCCCAACUCCAGGCGGUCCUGGCCUGUGCCUUCCCCUCCACUCAAACCCCCACGCGGGCUGCGCCGAAGUCUCGCCCUCACGAAGGACAAGAACAAAUGUAAUUAACGCGACUAGCGAGGGGGGUGAGCCCCUACCCGCAUAGGCUCGAGCCGGGGUCCCAGCGGUCCGCCCCCUGCCCGCCGUCUCCCUCCCGCCCCCACGCUCCCCGCCCCCCGGAGCGGGAGCAUUUGGGUUGAGCUGCGCCUGCCCUAUAAAUCCACAUAUAAUUCUCGCCUUUCCUGUUCAGCUAAGGAAAAUAAACGUGUAAGGCUGUUUCUGGGAGCCCAGCUCAGGGACCGCUCUAAAUUCUCCUCUUAUUGAGUCCGGGCUGGAAAUCAUUCAGUUCGGCGGCGCGCCCCCACCCUCCCCACCCCAUAGCCCGCCGCAAGCCCGCGCCCGCGCCCGCCGCGCACACGCACGCGCGCACACGGGAGGCAAGAGCCGGGUAUAUAAAUAUCUCCAGCUCUCCCCAUAGCCGGGCAGAUUUAUUCCGCUGCCAAGCCUGCAGAAAAUUGACUUGUUCAUGGAGGCGGCUAUUGACACAUCACCGGGGGGAGGGUUAGGGGAGAAAGCAGUGGAGCCGGCGCCCCUCCAUUAUACGUUAAUGUAAUCAGCAGUGUGCGAAAUGACUGCGCGGAAAAUAGCAUCACUGACAUUUAUAUUAGAGGAUAUUGAUGGCAGGAGCUGUGACCGCAUCACUCUGCCUCCCGUUUCCACGGAUUGACACAGGAGCCUCUUGUUGGCUCCAUCCACGCUCGCCUCCCCUCCCCCUCCCUCGCCUUCUCUCCCUCUCUCCACCCACUGUCUCUCUCCUCGCCUCUCCCCCACCCUCCCAAUUCACUCUUCCAGACGCUCAUUUUCCAAAUAAUUCUUGAGCACCUACUGGGUGCCACGUGCAGGGUCUCUCCCGCGCGCCUGUCUCUAGGUUUCUCUCUUUCUUCCCAACCGUGCCCUUGCCCUCUUUCUCCCCUCUCCCCAGCUCUGCCUCCCCCUCCCCCUUCCCUGGCUGGGUGGUUGGACCGCUGCUGUCAGAGCAGAUAGAUAAUUGAAAAAUGGGCCUCACCUUUGCAGCCAGCAGGAGUGGUUCAGGCAGUUACGGCCGGGGUUACCUACUCCAUCUCAGGCCCAGGCUCCAAAAGAGAUUCUGAGGAAAUUGGAUUUUACAUGGAUGUUUUAUUCGGGCAGAGGCUUUAGUGUAUAUAAAUACAGCCGAGGAGGCCUUGGCGGCAAGGAUGAGUGAGGCGAGACAAUCCUGCCUGGGGCCUGGAGGCUCAGGGGAGGCAGACAGGCCAUGUGCUCAGCUCUGGGUCCCAGACCUGGACAUCCGCGCAUUUCCUCCUCAGCAUCUGAGACUAAAAGAGGUUAAUGCCUCUGAACAGCUCCUCAAAAACUGCCUUGGGAAUUUUAAAAGUGUGUAAUUGUUGACAGCACCAUGUACUGAGAAAAGAAGGAAAUAUACUCAAGAAGUUUGAGGACUGAUUCAGUAAAUAUUUAUUGAACCCUUAAGUUGUGAAAUUGUGUUUGGGGCACAUGAGUAUGGUAGACAUGGCUGCUGAUUUCAAGGACAGUUUGGAGAAUGACAACCUGGGGUUUCAGGUUAGGGACAAGGAAGGGGAAAGUUGUGGAAGUGGGUACUGAGAUCACUUCUCUGAUCAUCCAAUCACCUGAGAAGCCUGGAUGAAGAAGCAGAAGGGAAGAGGGUCAAGCUGGGGGAUGGAGAGUCCUACCAGCUCUCCAGUCUCUCUGUCCUGGGCUGGUCAGCAGAGUUUCUGGGAACAUUUUAGACAACUGUAGUCACCAAAUCUAUAGGCAAGUUCACAUCCAAAAUGUUUGCAGGAAAUCUGAUGAAAUCCUUCAGAGGGCUAGGGUGAUAGAUCAUCAAGGAGCAAGGUGAGGCCUUCCAGAGAGACCAGCUGCAAGGCAUGAAGAGGGCCUGAGUGAGAAACCCUUUGUGGGAGACCUAAAUUGAAGCUGUAGCCCAAAUCAUUUCGUUUCUUGAAAGAAGAGCUCAUGAGCCAACCCAUGAUUGAAGAACUGGUAUUAAGGUACUCACCAGGCCCACUUACCUGUGUAUGAGAACCAAGUCAACCUGGAGAUGCACAAGGGCAGCAGCUAAGUGGAGGAAAUCUCAGGUAACAGGAAGGCUGUCUGUGAGAAUUCCCAUCAGGAACUGAAGCAUCCAGCAAGGAGAGCCGAACACUGCCUUCUUAGGAGAGAGUCCUGGCAGUCUUCUGGAUACUGGGGGCCCCAAACCCAAUCAGGUUCCAAGUGCCAGACUAUUAUUUCUAUGGAGGCAUUCCCAGCCUGAUCUCAAAUGCAAGAAGGGAACGAAGACUCUGCUCACCUCAGUUGGGCCCUGAAGGCGAGACAAUCAGAGCUCCCAGCUCUGGGGCCUGGAAAGGCAGAGCCAGAGGAGGAACCUAGGACCACAAUGUCUGGCCAGUGGGUUAAUUGGAUCUCUUUGCUCAAACCUAGCCUCUUUGCUUGGCUCCUGGAAGAAGGAAGCUACCCUUCAAAAUCCAGAGCCAUAAGCCAAAGCAGUCUUAAACAAGUGUUUCAGCCAAGGGAACUUGAGCUUAAGAGUCUGGUCUCCUCCCUCCUCAUCCCACUUCUCAAAGACAAAAAAGACAUAGUCCAUCCCAUCAUAUGGUCACAAUCCAGUGGGGGAGGCAGGCAUGACAAUAAGGAAGUAAAACAGGAGUGAGAGACGACAGGCUGCAGUGAAGACAAAAAACAGAACAGGGGUCAGUUCAACCUAACACUUCCUAGAGGAGCUGGUGCUUCAGCUAAUUUGUAAAUGUGGGCAGAAUAGAAGGGGGAAGGAAAGGAAGGGCCCAUAAGGCAAGGGGAAUGGCAUAUACAAAAGCCUUGGGGCAUCGAACAGCAUGGCUCAUUUGGAGACCUGCUGUACAGAGGGUGGGGUGGAAAGGUCACUCUGGGAGAGGCCGGGGGCAGGGGACAGAUAGUAAAGGGCCGUGGGCAGUUGUGCUUUUAUAGGGGAGGGCAUUAGCAGGGGAAUGACUUGCAUUUCAGAUAACUAGCUCUGAAGAAGAUGAAGAGAACGAAGAUGGGAAUGUAGCCAGAAACACUGGAGGCUGGGAGGUCAAUAAGGAGGCUCCUACAACUGUGAGGCGAGAGACAAAGAGGACCCGAACUGUGGCAGUGGGGUUGGGGGUCCUGAGACUGGGGAGAGCCUUACAAGGGCAUGGACAGGAUUUUGUCCACUGGUUGGAGGUGGGAUGUGAUGGGGGAGAGGAUUCCUGGAUGACAUCCUUGGGUGAAAAAUUGGGAGUGAUGGAGGUGGGGAACAGAA